AUUGAACGCUGGCGGCAGGCCUAACACAUGCAAGUCGAGCGGAAGCACGGUGCUUGCUUCUUGUUACAGCGGCCGACGGGCGAGUGAGGCCUAGGAAUAUGCCUGGCUGCUUUGGAGAACGGCAGGACAUGGGCACUAAUACGCUAUACGCCCUGAGAGAGAAAGUGGGGGAUCCUCGGACCUCACGCCAUUAGAUGAGCCUAGGUCGGAUUAGCUAGUUGGUGGGGUAAAGGCCUACCAACGCGACGAGCCGUAGCUGGUCUGAGAGGAUGAUCAGUCACACUGGAACUGAGACACGGUCCAGACUCCUACGGGAGGCAGCAGUGGGGAAUAUUGGACAAUGGGCGAAAGCCUGAUCCAGCCAUGCCGCGUGUGUGAAGAAGGUCUUCGGAUUGUAAAGCCCUUUUGUUUGGGAAGAAAAGCAGUAAGUUAAUACCUCGCUGUUUUGACGGUACCAAAAGAAUAAGCACCGGCUAACUUCGUG
rnacentral:rRNA from 1 species